rnacentral:rRNA from 1 species
UGGGGAAUUUUGGACAAUGGGCGAAAGCCUGAUCCAGCAAUGCCGCGUGUGUGAAGAAGGCCUUCGGGUUGUAAAGCACUUUUGUCCGGAAAGAAAUCCUUGGCUCUAAUACAGUCGGGGGAUGACGGUACCGGAAGAAUAAGCACCGGCUAACUACGUGCCAGCAGCCGCGGUAAUACGUAGGGUGCAAGCGUUAAUCGGAAUUACUGGGCGUAAAGCGUGCGCAGGCGGUUUGCUAAGACCGAUGUGGAAUCCCCGGGCUCAACCUGGGAACUGCAUUGGUGACUGGCAGGCUAGAGUAUGGCAGAGGGGGGUUAGAAUUCCACGUGUAGCAGUGAAAUGCGUAGAGAUGUGGAGGAAUACCGAUGGCGAAGGCAGCCCCCUGGGCCAAUACUGACGCUCAUGCACGAAAGCGUGGGGAGCAAAGCAGGAUUAGAUACCCUGGUAGUCCACGCCCUAAACGAUGUCAACUAGUUGUUGGGGACUUCAUUUUCCUUAGUAACGUAGCUAACGCGUGAAGUUGACCGCCUGGGGAGUACGGUCGCAAGAUUAAAACUCAAAUGAAUUGACGGGGUCAUAGCUG